UCCUACGGGAGGCAGCAGUGGGGAAUAUUGGGCAAUGGGCGAAAGCCUGACCCAGCAACGCCGCGUGAAGGAAGAAGGUCUUCGGAUUGUAAACUUCUUUUAUGAGGGACGAAGGACGUGACGGUACCUCAUGAAUAAGCCACGGCUAACUACGUGCCAGCAGCCGCGGUAAUACGUAGGUGGCGAGCGUUAUCCGGAUUUACUGGGUGUAAAGGGCGCGUAGGCGGGGAUGCAAGUCAGAUGUGAAAUCCAUGGGCUCAACCCAUGAACUGCAUUUGAAACUGUAUUUCUUGAGUGCUGGAGAGGUAGACGGAAUUCCUUGUGUAGCGGUGAAAUGCGUAGAUAUAAGGAAGAACACCAGUGGCGAAGGCGGUCUACUGGACAGUAACUGACGCUGAGGCGCGAAAGCGUGGGGAGCAAACAGGAUUAGAUACCCUGGUAGUCC
rnacentral:rRNA from 1 species